rnacentral:rRNA from 1 species
AACGAACGCUGGCGGCGUGCGUAACACAUGCAAGUCGAACGCGAAAGUCCGGGCAACUGGGCGAGUAGAGUGGCGCACGGGUGCGUAACACGUGGGUGACCUACCCUCGAGUGGGGCAUAACUCCGCGAAAGGGGAGCUAAUUCCGCAUAAGACCACGGCUGCGACAGGAGCUGCGGUCAAAGGGGGCUUUAGGGGGCCAAGCCACGGGCUGGGGGAGGAGGCGAGAGCGGCCUCCCCCAC